rnacentral:ncRNA from 1 species
GGCCACCUUCGGGGGGCUUAUCACAUAGGUCUUCGCGCCCGGAGGGGCAGGGGAUCGCUAGCUAAACGGAAGACAGAAA